rnacentral:sRNA from 1 species
AGUUUUGUAUUGUUUGAUCCUCUU